UUCAAACACCAGUUCUCGUACGAUCACGCAAGUUAAGCAACGUCGAGCUUGAUCAGUACCUAGAUGGGUGAUUGCUUUGGAAGUC